rnacentral:rRNA from 1 species
UACGAGGGGUCCUAGCGUUGUUCGGAAUCAUUGGGCGUAAAGAGUAUGUAGGCGGCCUUGUAAGUCAGUUGUGAAAGCCCCGGGCUCAACCCGGGAAGUGCAUCUGAUACUGCAUGGCUUGAGUGUUGGAGAGGGUAGUAGAAUUCCAGGUGUAGUGGUGAAAUACGUAGAUAUCUGGAGGAAUACCGGUGGCGAAGGCGGCUACCUGGCCAAACACUGACGCUGAGAUACGAAAGCGUGGGGAGCAAAC